rnacentral:rRNA from 1 species
CUACGGGGGGCAGCAGGCGAGAAAACUUUGCAAUGUGCGAAAGCACGACAAGGUUAAUCCGAGUGGUUUCUGCUAAAGGAACCUUUUGUCAGUCCUAGAAACACUGGCGAAUAAGGGGUGGGCAAGUUCUGGUGUCAGCCGCCGCGGUAAAACCAGCACCUCAAGUGGUCAGGAUGAUUAUUGGGCCUAAAGCAUCCGUAGCCUGCUUUGUUAGUUUUCGGUUAAAUCCAUACGCUCAACGUAUGGGCUGCCGGGAAUACUGCAAAGCUAGGGAGUGGGAGAGGUAGACGGUACUCGGUAGGAAGGGGUAAAAUCCUUUGAUCUAUUGAUGACCACCUGUGGCGAAGGCGGUCUACCAGAACACGUCCGACGGUGAGGGAUGAAAGCUGGGGGAGCAAACCGGAUUAGAUACCCCUGUAGUC